CCUACGGGAGACAGCAGUGAGGAAUAUUGGUCAAUGGCCGGAAGGCUGAACCAGCCAUGCCGCGUGAAGGUCAGUGCCCUAUGGGCGUUAAACUUCUUUUGUGCGGGAGCAAUAAUGGUCACGUGUGGCCAGACGAGAGUACCGUACGAAUAAGCAUCGGCUCACUCCGUGCCAGCAGCCGCGGUAAUACGGGGGAUGCAAGCGUUAUCCGGAUUUAUUGGGUUUAAAGGGUGCGUAGGCUGGGAGGUAAGUCAGCGGUGAAAUGCCCCCGCUCAACGGGGUGAAGUGCCAUUGAUACUGCCUGGCUGGAAUGCGGAUGCGGUGGGAGGAAUGUGUGGUGUAGCGGUGAAAUGCAUAGAUAUCACACAGAACACCGAUUGCGAAGGCAUCUCACGAAUCCGCGAUUGACGCUGAUGCACGAAAGCGUGGGUAUCAAACAGGAUUAGAUACCCUGGUAGUC
rnacentral:rRNA from 1 species